rnacentral:lncRNA from 1 species
UUUCCUUCAAUAUAUCCUCCUGUUUUCCUUCCAGCUAAUACAUCCAUCAAAGUUGUUUUACCAGCUCCGCUCACACCCAUCAAAGCUGUAAGAACACCCGGCCUGAACACUCCACUUACUUCCUUCAGGAGUACUAAUUUAUCUUCGUUUGCUCCUAGAGCCUUCAUUUCCUGCCAGGAAUAAAUAGUUGCGCGUUUUAAAUUAUCUAUAAGCAUGACAUGAAUUUCUUCAUUACAAGUUAAACAUACUGCUGGCAUGUCAACUGAAUAUUUGAUGUUAUCAAAUGUAAUGGAAUGUGGUUCAAAUGGCAGGAUCAUUCCCCUAGUCUCGUUCUCGUUGGCUUCUGAGGUUCCAGAGGAGAUGCUUCGCCUUCUACUUCCACCAGCCUCACCCAUAAUAGCAGCAUCUUCAUCUUCUUCUGGUAAUACAGCUUGUUUCUUGUCAUAUGCUGCACCCAUUUUUAAUUGCUGAGUGUAAAAUUAGGAAAAUACCGAAAUCCCUUGGACUAGAAAAAAACUUACAAUUGAGGUAUGUAAGACAGAUCAAGAAGCCGAAGUUGAACAGAAACAUGAAACCAAUGGAAGCCCCCACUCCUAUCCAAUACCAGUA